rnacentral:rRNA from 1 species
GUGGGGAAUAUUGGACAAUGGGCGAAAGCCUGAUCCAGCCAUGCCGCGUGUGUGAAGAAGGUCUUCGGAUUGUAAAGCACUUUAAGUUGGGAGGAAGGGCAGUAAGUUAAUACCUUGCUGUUUUGACGUUACCAACAGAAUAAGCACCGGCUAACUUCGUGCCAGCAGCCGCGGUAAUACGAAGGGUGCAAUCGUUAAUCGGAAUUACUGGGCGUAAAGCGCGCGUAGGUGGUUUUGUAAGUUGGAGGUGAAAUCCCCGGGCUCAACCUGGGAACUGCCUCCAAAACUGCAUGACUAGAGUACGGUAGAGGGUAGUGGAAUUUCCUGUGUAGCGGUGAAAUGCGUAGAUAUAGGAAGGAACACCAGUGGCGAAGGCGACUACCUGGACUGAUACUGACACUGAGGUGCGAAAGCGUGGGGAGCAAACAGGAUUAGAUACCCGAGUAGUCC